GAUGAGAAAGAAAACAUGACAAGAGGAAUUAUAUCCUUCACGAACACUCUAGAAUGCUCUCUGCAUCACAGAGAGUUUGGGCUUAUUGGACUUAAUGCCUCUUAAGGUUCAUCCAAUUCUAUGAUCCCGUGACUUGCAAAACACCCCAGAUGUGAAAUAGGAUGCUUUGUUACCUAACGUCACUAAGGUGUUGGAUAACAUUGCCAGAUGAUUUCCUAUCAUGACUGUGCCCACAUCUUUCUCCACCUUCCUUGCGUGGGAACACAGCACCAAGAAUAUUCUGCUGCUCUGUAGAUGAGGAAUAUACAUUUGAUGAAUGCAUGAAUGAACGGAUCAAAGGCAACGUAUAGACUGAGAAAAUGCCAAGCCAACUUUCUGCCUUCUCCUGUCCUACAUCCAGGCCUAUGAGAUUCCCUGGAGGAAAAAGACAGCAGCAAAUCCAUGUUUCUGCAAUUCUAUCUUCUCCUACCUGAGCCAGAGUCCCAGGAUCCACUCUCUCUGCUCAGCUAUCUAGACCUUAGAGGUACUGACCCUACUCUCUGCUCUUACCUGCCAGUGAGUAUUCCAUUAGUACUUUGGGUUCUCUAUACUUGCCCAUACCUUUGUAAAUAGUCUCUUUAUUAAACUUUCCUCAAAUUUCCCGAUUUCAGGGGUGUCAUCUCUUUCCCACCAGGACCAGGACCUGUAUAAGGUAAUUUAACACUACCAACAACUCAGGCCCUCCUGAGUCUCAUGAUGGUGUCUCUUGUUCUGCUAACGUUUUAGCUCUGCCUAUCAAUCCCCUUUAGACAGUGGCUGAGUGUGAUGCUUAAGGAGAUGGGCUCCAGAACCAGACCAGGAGGUCUGUGCCACCAACCAGCAGUGUGACCUCGGGAAAUUUCCCAAACCUCUCUGUCUCAGUCUUCUCCUCUAUAAGUGGUGGAUAAGAUGCUUCCCUACCUCAAAGUCUAAUGGAGAUGAAAUGGCUUAAAACAUGUGAAGCACUUAGAAUAGUGCCUGGUGCACAUUAAACCAUAA